rnacentral:lncRNA from 1 species
GGGCCACACCUGCAGCAUAUGGAGGUUCCCAGGCUAGGGGUCAAAUCGGAGCUACAGCUGCCAGCCUACGCCACAGCCACAGCAACUCAGGAUCUGAGCCAUAUAUCUAUGACCGACACCACAACUCACAGCAACGCUGGAUCCUUACCCACUAGGCGAAGUCAGGGAUCAAACCCACAACCUCAUGGUUCCUGGUUAUUUUCGUUUCUGCUGAGCCUGAUGGGAACUCCUGCAGUCUUAGAUAUGUACACGUACAUUUUGCAUCUCCGUGGGGACAUGUUCAGCAUUUCUCACACUUGUUUGACCUCAGAAUCCCCUGCUAUUUUAUGGAACUUAUAUUAAUAUCUCAUAGAUAUGGUAUUCCAAAAGGAGCCACAUUCUCUUUCCUGACAUAAAUUUUAGAAAGGCUAGGUAAAUGGAAUAAUGAAUGGAGAGAGAAAACACCAGCUGGCCAUGGCUUUGACCCCACACCUGGCACUUCCUUGUCUUCUGGGUUCAUCACUGAAUAAGCAUGAGUGAUCAAUCUCUAACGUUUUGUUCAAUCAUUUGCAGAGCUACCCUCAUAGCACCACGAAAAAGCAUGAGGGUCCUUCUCUCCAGCAAUGAUCAGUUCAGGCUAAGCCUUGGUGCUGAAAGUGGGAGAAAAGGCAGGGAGAGCCCUGUAAAACCGGAGGAGCUCAUGGAGUGAAGAUUAUUUACACUGUGUGCCUACACCAGGGGGGGUCCACUAAAAUUUACUAUCUCAUCCUAGUCUUUGAGAUAUGCUUAAAGACCCAGAGUUCAGGUUGCUUUAGUGGGUCAUUCUGUGUCUGAUGGAUGCACCUGCCCGCUCUCUCCCGCACCAGAGCAGAACACAAAACACUGUCACAUCCAAUGUGAUGGGAUCACAUGUCUUCAGACCCUUUUUAUGAGGGUGACGCUCUAAAAUGCCAUCAUUAUUCACUAUUAUUUAAGGAGGAGGAAGGAGAGGCACGGAAGGGAAGUUUUACCCCUCAGAGGGAAAGCCUCAGGUGAACCUUCUGGCUACCAGAAUAUAUCGUUCAGAAUAUACAGUGGGUAGAGAAGAUACCUUGCAAUUACGACAUCAAAACAAAUUAAUUCCUACCAUGUCCCACGUCCAGCUGAGUCAGACUGCCCUAUCCUCAGAGUCAGAAAUGUAUAACAAGUCAGUCAAGUCAUUAACAGGUUAUGCAUUUUGCAAUGUCACUGACCAGAAUGUUUAGUGAAUGAGUAAAAUUAACCUAACUUCCAACACGAAUUUUGCAUCUUUCCAUGUAAAGGUACUUAUACCUCUUUUCAUAUUUCCAAAUACUCCUGUCAAGCACACUCUGUUUUAACAAUAAACAGACUUAUGGAAUAACUUAAGUUUGUAUUGCGCUUUACAGUUUACUAAGUACUUUCAUGUACAGGUCUUCUUUUAUCCUCAGUAUAAUUCUGAUGGAUCUUAGUGUCUUCAUUUUCUGAUGUAGGAAUUAGGAUUAUUGCUAAACUAAUAUCCAGCAGAGACUGAACCCCAGACUCUGAUUCCAGAUUUAGCCUGUCAGUUCCCCACAAUUGGCACUGAAGGAUUUCCCUUCUAAGCCCACGGCAAUCUCAAUUCUUUUCUAUACUCCUUGUUCCAUGUACUAAUAAAAUUCCAAGCACAUUUCUGGAAACUAUAUUCUUUUUCUAGUUACUCCAUGUGUCUCUGCCUCCUCUACCCAAUUCAAACACAAGCCUUUGGUGACACUGUACUUUCAGGGACCCCUGAAGAACGUUCCUUCCCUCUAGACCCCAUUCAACCAGGUUUAACCCUCGGCGACAGAACCCAGCACAAGCCAGGAGGGGCGCCUUCCCACCCCUCACAAACUCUGCCUUUCUCAAGCCUCGUCCUUGAGUAGGGAAGAGUCUCUCCCGUGUGCUGUGUGUUGCUGGAACACCAGCUGACGUCCGGGGUGGACGCACACCACUGCCCUCUGCUGCAGGUGUCCGUUUAUCAUACGUCUCCCACUUGACCUUGGUCAUCUUGAGAAGGGAGACCUUGGGUCACUUUUUUCUUUGAAUCCCCAGAACCUCAUACACGGUAGGUUGUCACUAAUUAAUAAAUAUUUUAAUUUAAAAAGUAACCCGAGAUCAAUUAAGGCAGUUAGUGUCUUUGAGAGGUUCCCAGUCUCACAGGGAAGAAAAACAUAUACACAGACUACAGCCAAUAACAUGAGGCACUGUACCUCCGGGGUACAGAUGGGUUCAAGGGGCUCUGGGAGCACAGACAGGUAGGGACCCAAGGCAGUUGGCCCUCAGAGACAGUGAAGUUGGGCAGAAACUUCAAGAAGAGUAGACACUCUCAGCCAAGGUGCAUAGAGCUGACAGGAAAAGGGUGGGAGUGGGUGGCGAACAGGGGUAGCAGGCGAUUCAGGGGUUUGGUUUGGGGGGCAGCAUAGCAGCCCCUUCUCUGGGGGAGCUGCCGCUCUCUUCAGCCAAUCUUGUGGUUCUAAUAGUAUCUGCUCAUGAUAUCUCGUUCCCCUGGCCAGGAAGACUUCCCAAAGGUUUUGCGAAUGUCUUCGGGCUCACAGAAGAAACAGAAUGAGAAAAUAAAACUGGCCCAGAGAGAUAAGCCAAGGAGAAAGUUGGUGGAAGUGCGUUGUGGAAGCACCCCAGUCCCUGAUCCAGUGGUUUCUGGAAUCUGGUGCACCUCUGCCGUUCCUAAAGUCUGGUUUUCUACCUCAGCUGAGUCAAGCUGGGUUUCUGCCACUUGCAAACACAAGAAUCCUGAUCAAUGCUAAGACCUUAAAAAAAAUCUCCCACAACACGCACAGAGGUAGGCACAAAGUAGCUACUCAAUAUUUUACUCCUCAAACAGACCUAUUUCCAUCAUCGAGUUCAACCUCUUUAUUUAAAGAUGGGGACACAGGCUUACAUAAUUUCCCCAAGAGGUUCUACAAAAGAGUUUACAUCAGAACCUGAACUUUUCUCAGACCAGUGUUCAAUACACACAGACUGCUUCCUUUGUUGUUUGCUGGCUAAUAAGCCUCAAAGGGUUCCUAUUUGGUGGGGGAAAAAAAGGAAGAAAAAAAUCAAAAUGGACAAAAAAUUCCUGAAAGGACUGUAAAGUGAUGACAUUAUUGUUUUUUAGUUAAUUCUGUACCAAAUAGUCCCUGACAUGCACCUGCCUCUGGGGUAGGUGGAUAUUUUGAGACAAGGCACCCUCCUUGACCUCAAGGAGUUCACCAAGCAGAGUGAGGAGACUGCACAGGCUAUCAGAGCUCACAGACGCUCAAAUGAGCCAUCUGGGAGAAUAUGCACUUGUUAUGUUUGCAAGUGCUGGUAAGUCUCUUUUGAACCAGUUAUGAGCCAAACAAAAGUGUCACCUCAUAAUUUCAUAGCUGCAUUUAAAUUCAUGUUAAUCAAAAAUAGUACCAUUUCAGCUGGACCAACUGGAUACGGCACUUGGUUUUUAGAAAAUGCAAAAAAGCCUCCAAAGACAAUGGUUUCCUCCUACUAAGUAUAUUCAAAAGAAAAGGCGAUGGGUUCUGAGGUCUACUGUCAAAUAGGAGGUUCGAAGAUGUUUCGCCCAAGGCUAGGCAGCAUCACUGCCCUGAAGGGAACAGCACUAUUCAGGAAGGGUAAAUGUUUAUGAUGCAUUGUUAAAAUAAUGAAUUCUAGAGUUUACAUUACCUUUCCAGACAGGCAUAUAUCUGCCUAGAGGCAGGUGCCAGUAUCACCUGAAGUCACCUUGCAUCUCUUCCCUCCAGCUCUGAUUCUGCCACCGCUUACACUGGUUUUCUCUAAGUCUGCGAUGGGCUGGAGAGCUAUUUCCGUCCUAGUUCUUCUCCUUAUAUAGGUCAAAUCCCAUUCCAAUGAGCACCAUAACAAUAACCACCUCAUGGCCUGGUUAUUUUAGACAGCCUGAUAAAAUGAGAAUUAAGCAUGACCUCCCAGCCAGAGUCGGCUGUUAGAGAACUUGACCUGAAUAUUAUUUAAGCAAGGAGGCAGCCAGUUUCUUAUGUUUUUAUCUUUGUGGCCCUGGGGCAUGGCAAAACAGUCAGACAGAGGUACAGAAUCAUCAUCAGUGAGUCCAAACCACAGUACUCAGUUCCCAUUGUGGCUCAGCAGGUUAAGAACCCAGCUAGUAUCCAUGAGGAUGCGGGUUUGGUCCCUGGCUUUGCUCAGAGGGAUAAGGCUUUGGCAUUGCUGUGGCUGCGGCGUAGGCCAGAAGCUGCAGCUCCCAUUCAACCCCUAGCCUCGGAACUUCCAUAGGCCGCAGGUGCAGCCCUAAAAUGAAAAAUUAAAAAAUCAAAAAUUAAAAAAAAAGAAUCUCCAUGUUCUGUCCACUCCAGCCAAAGGAACUGUUCAUCCUAAUUCAGGUUAUAAAUAAGCCCUCUUGUCACACUGGGCAUCUCCAACCUGAGGUUUUUUCCCCUCUAUUCUUUCCCAGUAGGGCUGGAUUCCUGUGUCUUUUUGCAUGUGUUGCUGUUUCUUAGAACGAAGCCCUGGCUGUCACACUCGCCAAUGCUCCUCCACAAGAAGGUAAAUUCCCCCAGGAUAGAGCUUCGUUUGUUCGGCUUCCAGCUCUGUGUAACAUCUGAAUCCUCUUGCUAGAAAGCUUGCUGCACAAGAAUGUGAAAUGUCAUGUCUAGAACAGUGCCUGGCAGACAGUAAAUGCUCCAUCACUGUUCGCUAAAGGGUGCAAGUCCAACGCCAUCCCUUCCUCUCCCGGAGCAGUCAAGGGUCUCUCCUCUGACCUUGUUGUCCUGUUAGCGUCUCUCUGUUCUGACAGUAUGGGAUGCCCUACUCAUGCUCUAUCAGUUUUCCCAGCUGAACUGGAAAAUACUAUGUUUGAUAGCUCCAUGUCUUCUGUGCCUGAAACAGUAAGAGUUCGCUCACUGCUUAUUGCUUCAAUGAUUGAAAGAAUGAAUUAAAAUGUUUCUUUGGUAACAAUCAAGGCUGAGGAUUUAUGACUUAACAUCAUGCCUCAAGUUUGGCCUGGACUCCAGCGCUUUCCAAGCCGAAGCAGCCGUGAGUCACCGGGCUGGGCAGGGAGGGGAGGGGAGUUUGUUUGCGGAGGACUUGUUUCCCGACCUCGAUGAAUCACAUGUAUAAUCACCCCAACUGCAUCCUGUCUGGGGAAGUAACCAAAAUCCCUAUUUCUGGCCUUAAUGGCUUUUUGGUUUUAUGAGUAAAUGCCACUGGCAUGCCAUUAAAUAAAUGCCCUCGGAAAGCCCUCAGCCAGUGCUGUGACCUGUGACAGGCAGGUUGUUGAAGAGCAGCCUUGGGAAUGGAGCACAAGACCAAAGAAGUAGGCUAUGCGUCCCACCUGGACCGUCGCUCUCAGAGCUACCUGGCGACCUUGCUUCUGAGUUCUUUCCAAACAUCUGUUAGGCUCUUUUCUGGUAAAUCACAGGUAUGAUCAGGCCAUUCUCCUACAGAAAAAUAUGCAGUGGUUCUCAUCAUCUCCAGAAGACAGACCAAACUUUUUCACCUAGAACACCAUCUAUAUCCUGGCUCUGACCUACUUCACCCACUUUUCCUUCCCACGCCCCCACAUAACUAGAUGCUCCAAACAGAAUGACUUUCUGAUCACAUAUAAUCCUAUUCUUUGCUCUAUGACUUUGUUUCCUGCUUCCUCCUCGUAUGUCCACCCCCUACCACUUCCAGAUGUCUAAAGAAAUGCCACACCCUCCACAAUAUCAUCCGCAGCUGUCCAAUAAGAAAGAAUAAAGUCUCCUUCAAGGACGCUCAGAUUCCAUUGGGGCUGCCCUUCCACUAUCUCUAAUGUGCUUGGGAAACAUGUAUGUGCAUGUUCGUUUCUCUAGUAAAUCAUUUCCGGACGAAUAUCUGAAUCUUAGUCAAUGUGAUGUUCCUUUGACUCCUAGCAGUGCUGGCCACAGUGGACACUCCAAAUAAAAGUUAGCUGAGUGGAAAAAGAGAACGAGUUCCACUGUUCAAAUCCUCAUCUUUGAGAAUCUUCAGGAAAGGUGUGACAUAGAAGUUUCUUAUUCUCACUCUCCUAUUUUAUCCCUUACCUCCUCUCCAAGAGAACACAAGAUUAAGAAAACCUUUGGUCUCUGCAAAUAACUUGGUUUUAUAUCCAUGAAGCCUCAAGGCCAGUUAUCUGUUCUAGACGUUCUUCCUCCUGAUAGCCAGCACCUCAGGGCCCACCUUGCUAGUAAGGCAGAACAACUUCAGAGGAAAAAACAGAAUUUUGGUCAUUAACUGAGUCAAACAAAAAGAUAGCUGAGAGGGUAUCUGUCAUUUCAAAGAGCAAACUUUUAAAAAGAUAGCAUAUUCUAAAAACAAAGACUUUUCUGUUACUGGCUGUUUGGGAAUAUCCACGCCCCAGUGCCAAUGUCAGGGUGGGCAUACUCGUUCAGUGUGGAUAAGUGAGAGCUGAAGCAAUAAAGCUUAGCUUUGUCUGAUCGCAAAGCAGUGCAGUCUCCUUUCUGUUGGUUGGAAUGACUGCUUAUGAGAACAGGGAUAUAGAAGCAGAACAGGGUUAAAAUCACCUAGGGCGAGGUCAGAGAACGAGAGAACGGAACGUCAAGCAUUUUGCUUCCUCUGCUGUCUUUGGGCAAUGACCACUUCUGAGCAGAUGAGAGAUGGACGGCCACCACUGCAGCUUGAGAGCCACCUCGACACGCUGCCAUCAGGGCAACGCCCUUCCCUCCCCAGGUGUCAUCCUGCCACACCACGUAAUGGCUGAAGGACCACAGAAAAGCCUGCAAUGUCUUCGCCUGCGAGGUGAGGAUGACGCCUCUGACAAGGUACCAGUGUUAGAUCUUAUAAACUGUAAAGUACUGCUUCGAUAUUAGUUGUUGGUGCAAAUUCAGAGGUUUUUCCUAUUACCCUACACCUGGGGUCAGCAAACAACUUCUCUAAAGGGCCAAGUAAGAACAAUUGCAGGCUGUGUGGGCCAUGUGGCUCUAUGGUAACUACUCAACUCUGUCUGCCUCUACAGCAGGAAAGCGACCCCUGACAACAUGCAAAUGAAGGCAUGUGCUUUGUUCCCAUCAAAAUUUACAGAAACCAUGGUAGACGGGACUUGGCCAUAUUUGCAAAUCCCCGCCCUACACCUUUGGAGUGAAUGAAACACCAGAGGCAGACAGAGGGGCAUAUCUAAACUCUUUCCCAGUGGGAAGAGUGGCAUGUCAGUUUUCGUGAACAACUGUCCUGAGCCUGGCAGACCUCCCUUUAAGGCACUUCUGGAAAUCAGAGUUUUAGUUUUGUGCAUUAUACCACCAUGGCCAUCUUCAGCAUUGUCAACCUCAUUCUGCACCUCACUGAGAAGUGUUACUGACACAGGCAUAAAAGAACCCUAGUUUUCUAUACCUACCACUUGACCACACUCUUCUGGGAAAGACAGCUCUGAUUAUUGUUAAAGAAAAUAUCAAUCAUACUUGUGGUGAAAGGUCGCUACAUUUUUUAACAAAUUGGUCCUUUGAGCAAGAUGAAUUUUAAUGGAUUGGUUUAUUAACCUAAAGGUUGAACCAGACUGAGAGUAACUGAAUGAUUCGUUCAUAAUUAGUAUUAUUUAUAAUUAUUUUACUUGGGAAAAAAAUAUCACCUUAAAUGUCAGGAUGUUUUUUAAUUGCUUCAGAUGAGAUUCAAAAUAAUUGACUUUGCAAAUGUAUUUAAAAAAAAACUCAUUUAAAAUUAUCUGAAGCUGCUGAGAGUCUGUCUGGAAGGGGCAAGAUAUUGAUAUUCAUUACUAGGAACAGGGCAGAAAUUGAUUCAUGUUUUUUUUUUUUUAACCACAUGAAGUGUGUCCUGUGGUCACUGCUGGACAGAGCGGGGUUGCUGAUACGGGGAUGUGUAGGUUCCUCUUCCCCACCCAACCUGCUCUCUAAGUAAGUACGCUGUGUGACAGUCAGUGCACGUUUUUGCUUGCAUACAUAUCUGCAUGUAUUUUGUAUUAAAAGGCGGUAAGCAGAGGCUUGAAAAGAGAAAGGACAUAUACAUGUAUAUGCUUGGUGGUUUGAGGAAAAUACAGUCUCUGGCCAUAUGGUGCAUGUGUACAAGUGAUUUGGAUGGAAUACCAACGUGUUGAAGGUGAGUAGGGGUAUCACCUAGCAUCGCUGUAAGUAUUUAUCAGUUGAUUGGCAGAAAAGAAAAGGAGAGUACAUUAACACCUGGGGAAAGAAGGCUUUGAAACAAUUACAGUUGUGAAAUACAGGUAAAUCGCUAAGAAAAAACAUUCAGCAGCAGAACAAUAAUGAUACUUUGUAACAAUGCAACAACUGCAGAGAUACAAACUUUUCCUGUCUUCAUAUACAGCCUCAGGAGUGCCUCACAGCUUCCUUUGGAUGCAGGAGGGAAGGGUAGGAACAACUUCAUUUGAUAAAAGGUGAGAAGGUUCAGUGAAUUUGCCCCUGGAUUUGGAUUUGCCCCUGAUCUACACUGCCUUCCUCACAUACCACACUCAUCUGGAGCCUGCAGAAAGGGUGAAUGUGUCCACAGGUACCAAGGCCAAGUUCGGCAGCCUUCAGAAGUCGCCUGAACCAGCCUGACUCAGAGAGCAGAACCCAAAUCUCCCAUCUGAGACUUUUCAGGGAGCAAGUAACAAGUGGUCUGAAAAGAACACCCCAGGCAGGGAAUAUGGCGAUGGGAUUAUAAACACAGCCUCUCAGUCGCUUCUUCCAAGUAUAUUCAGUCUGAUCAUGUGCCUGAGACCUGGUGUGACAUUGACUAG